rnacentral:rRNA from 1 species
AUUGAACGCUGGCGGCAUGCUUUACACAUGCAAGUCGAACGGCAGCGCGGGCUUCGGCCUGGCGGCGAGUGGCGAACGGGUGAGUAAUACAUCGGAACGUGCCCAGUAGUGGGGGAUAGCUCGGCGAAAGCCGGAUUAAUACCGCAUACGACCUGAGGGUGAAAGCGGGGGAUCUUCGGACCUCGCGCUAUUGGAGCGGCCGAUGGCCGAUUAGCUAGUUGGUGGGGUAAAGGCCUACCAAGGCGACGAUCUGUAGCUGGUCUGAGAGGACGACCAGCCACACUGGGACUGAGACACGGCCCAGACUCCUACGGGAGGCAGCAGUGGGGAAUGUUGGACAAUGGGCGAAAGCCUGAUCCAGCAAUGCCGCGUGUGUGAUGAAGGCCUUCGGGUUGUAAAGCACUUUUGGCGGGAACGAAAAGGACUGUGCCAAUACCACGGUUCGAUGACGGUACCCGCAGAAUAAGCACCGGCUAACUACGUG